rnacentral:rRNA from 1 species
CACGUAGGGCGCGAGCGUUGUCCGGAAUUAUUGGGCGUAAAGAGCUCGUAGGCGGCCUGUUGCGUCCGCUGUGAAAGUCCGGGGCUUAACCCCGGGUCUGCAGUGGAUACGGGCAGGCUAGAGGUAGGUAGGGGAGAAUGGAAUUCCCGGUGUAGCGGUGAAAUGCGCAGAUAUCGGGAGGAACACCGGUGGCGAAGGCGGUUCUCUGGGCCUUACCUGACGCUGAGGAGCGAAAGCGUGGGGAGCGAACAGG